ensembl:snRNA U6 U6 spliceosomal RNA
GUGAUGAUGCCCCUAGCCUGACUCAUCUUAGGCAGCACAUAUACUAAAAUUGGAAUGAUACAGAGAAGAUUAGCAUGGCCCCUGCACAAGGAUGGAAUGCAAAUUGGUGGGUGGGAUAGCUCAAUGGU